GUACAUGAAGAGAGGUAGGAAGUCCUCUUCCUUUUUUUGGGUGGAACAGCUAGGCCCCUCCAGUUCUCAACUGCAUCCCCAUCAGCCGGAAAAAUGUUUGUGGUAGCAUCAGAUCCCACAAAUGGAACAAAUCCGCAUAUUUCCCUCGAUGAAGGAAAGAUGACGAGCAAUGAAGCGAUCGACUCGAAGAGGCAAGUUGUCAUGUUUGAAAAGGCCAUGUUUUAUGUUUUUGAAAUCAGCUUCAACAGUGGCUGAACUUGCUGUGAUGCUGGUGCUUUGGAAGAGAGGGACCAUUAUUCCUGUCCAGAGUGGCAAGUAACUUGCCAGUCUUAUUAUAUGAGGAAUAAUCUCAGGGAGAAAGUGAAUAUUAUCUCUAUCCCCAUUUGCUGCAGCAAGUGACCUGCUCUCCUCACAUAUUUCUGUUACCCACUGUCGUAGGUCAGUCUGGAUCUCAUCCACUGAAUCCACUCUCUCACUUUCCUCCGUCUGUUCAUCUGGAAUGAUGAUGGAGUCUUGAGAAAUUUGGGCUUUCAAGUAUUUCUUGCACCUUUCUGAAGGAAGAGGUGCUCCAGAACUGUCAUCACCUUCUGCCUCACUGAGGGCCACAACAGUGAUAGCAUGCAAUCCCACUGGCAUAUCAUCUUGAUGCAGUGCGCAACAUCAACCCUGAUAUAACAAGGGGGGAGUUUGGCAGACUGGGUUCCAAGAAGGACAUGAAAGCAUUCAUUAAGAGUGGCCAAAUUUGGAAGGUGGCUUGGCUCAGGAUCUCCAACAUCCAUCAGAUCUGCUGCCCUCGCUGACCUCCAUACAGCCGGUUCCAUUCUGCCCUCACACAGCUCUUUAGCGAUCUGUUCACGCAGGUUUCCAGACAUGAACCGCUUGGAGUGGCCAGUGUGCAGGGAGAAAUCUGUAUUUCUCAUGAAACACUGGAGCACCAUUGGACUAUUAAUUGCUGGCUGUCUGUCACAUGACAUUUCUAACUGGCCAUGACACUCCUUACAGUCGCCUCUGAUGUCCAGAUAAUUAUUGUUGACAGUUGGAUGGACCUUUGCUCUACGGAACACAAGUGUACAUGUAUUUUUGAUCUUCUUCCAUAUAAGAUCGUUGAUGAUAUGAGUCCAAGUGCCAGGUUUCAAAAUUGUGUAUUCCCUUUUUAGGGUAGGAGAAAACUUGUCAUUGUAUUCAACCUUUUCAGGAAUAAAUUUAACCCAGUCCUCAAAAGGGACUUCUAGUUCAAAAGCUUGACAGUUUUCUUGUCCAGGAGAAAUGCAAUGUGAAUCUAACUCUCCUUCACUAUUACUUUCCUGAUCACUGAUUUCCAAAGCUGACCAGAUGUUGUGUCUAUUUAGCUUCACAAAAGUGUACAGGGCCUUUGCUGACAUCUUGUCUUCUAGCUGCUGACUCAGCUCUUUCCAGACUGAUGCAGCUGGAGUGGCUAUUUUGCCAUUUUGGACUAUGGCCUCUUUUGAAUUGCAAAGAACUGCAAAAAUGGAAACCUUGUCUACAGAUGGCUUUCGAGGCAUCUAAAAUAAAACACACUAUGAUUAUGAUGGAGCAAAAUGUGAUUUCUGAACUAUAUACACAGCCAGGAGCAACCCCUCCCCCAAGUUCUCCACCAAUCUACACUUUCAUAUUUUGUGGAAUUAUUGUUUUUAAGAUGGAGCUAUUGAAUUUGUGAGUUUAUUAAAUUGAGUCUGAGUAUUUAACCCAUGUACUGUACAGCACUUUAGUCCAGUGUGCUACAUGUUUUAAAGUGCUUUAGAAACUUUUUUCUUGGACAUUUUUGAAAAUGUUUAACAUUGAAAAAAAAUCCUUUUGAUCCAGAUAGUUAGCUAUAUCAUGUAUUAACUCAGUAACUAAAACCUCAGUAUUUUAAAUGUAAGCUUACCUUGUUCAGAAAUCAGAUGAACGCUGUUCUAAGAAUCCUUCAGACACAGUAAUGCCAAAUAAUAGUUUUUUCUGCCAGAAAAUGUGUAUUUGAUGCAAAAGACUGCUAGCUUGUUCGUUUCUCAAAAAGUGUUCAUGGGAGUGUAAAAUGUUCAAAUGUAGUUUUCAAUAAAGUUUUUUUAAUCCACUCUAAAAAAA
ensembl:lncRNA